rfam:Sphaerobolus stellatus SS14 unplaced genomic scaffold SPHSTscaffold_183, whole genome shotgun sequence.
GACAAUGUAGCCAAGUGGUUACGGCGAUUGAUUAGAAAUCAAUUCCUCUUUGAGGGCGUAGGUUCAAAUCCUGCCAUUGUCG